GUGCUCGCUUAGGUAGUGCAUAUACUAAAAUUGGAACAAUACAGAGAGGAUUAGCAUGGUCCCUGAGCAAGGAUAACACACAAAUUUGUGAAGUGCUCCAUAUUUUA